GCACGUCCCCGCUGAGGACAUGCAUUCUGGCAUAGAGGGGGCAGCGGCAGCCACUAAAAAGUACAAGGUUCAGACAGCUAUUCGGCGGACCGUUUUGAACGAGCACAAUGAUAAAGUGACUGGAAUGCUGGGUAGGAAAAAAAAGUCUAAUAACAAUAAUAAUAAUAAUAAUAAUAGCAUAGCAAGGGGUUUUAUCGGGCAGAAAAAUAAAAAUGCUGCUUUUUUUCCAGGUAGAGCAAAAAAAAAAAUGGCUGCACCUUUGAACCUUGUAAUGAUUUGGAAAGUGCAAGUGCACAGUAAACACCGACUGGCCACACUCCCGGCAGAACCGCAUGUAGAACCAAUCACCAAUACCGGCGGUGAAGUCUACGGAAUCACUCGGUUUAUGGAUUAGGGUGGGGGUUUUAGUCAGGCCUGACGUGAUGUGGAUGAAUCAGCCCUUUAUACGCUCUGUCACACGCCAGCUCCGACUCAUGAGAUGGACGUGAGACGUGAAGACAGCGGUGACCCUGUUUGAGCCAUAAUUCAGUUCACUGGCGUUCUCUUUGCAUGGUUCGCGCAGAAAAAUACUGUUUGAUUACAGUUGGUAGUAGCCUAGCGGGUUACACACUCGCCUACGAACCAGAAGACCCAGGUUCAAACCCACUUACUACCAUCAUGUCCCUGAGCAGGACACUUAACCCUGAGUGUCUCCAGGGGGGGACUGUCCCUGUAACUACUGGUUGUAAGUCGCUCUGGAUAAGGGCGUCUGGUAAAUGUAAAUGUAAAAAAGUGCCGUUGUUAUAUUUGCUUUCUUUUGCUUCUGCCAUAUUAAAAACAGAGAAC
rnacentral:lncRNA from 1 species